UGGUGAAAAGGUGGCCUCGCCUCUCAGGAAGGCAGGGGGCUGAGCAUGAAGACCCCCCAGAAUCCCAGCUUCUCGACGCUGUCUGCCUCAGCUGGGCAGGGCAGGCUCCUCAUGGUCACCGCAGCGCGUUUCCAACUGCGGCCUGGGAUUGUGACCAGCUCACUUACAGCCACGCCCUCAGCUGAGACCUGGCUCGCGGAAGACAAAGUCUCCCCGGGCCAUUUCUGAUUUCUAGCGUGAAACUCCUGUUUGGUCAUAAAUAAAGCUCCAGAAGCCUCCUUCAUCUAAAGAGGGGCUUUGUUCUGGCUGCAGAGCUCCAGGAUCCCAGAGGCUUGAACUAUUUAAAAACCUCUCUGCAGCUGGGAGAACUGGGUAACGAUCCCCUGGUGUGGAAAAAUUCAGAGAAGGCAUAAACUGUUAAAAGUUUUUAUAUAUAUUUGUAAUAUUGUCUGAUGAACGUGUGGGAUAACCAUAGGAAUAGAUCUAGAGACCUGCUGCGCUGACCGUACAAGCUUUGGGCACCUCCCAGCCCCUCUGCAGUGUUACGAAGCGAUGCUGCCUGUCUGCUCUGAGUCCUCCAACAGUGUGGAGGAGCAGCGCUUUGCAGAAGAUGUCUCUCUGCAGUUCAAAUUCUCAUCCUCUGUGCCAUCCACAGAGUGCCAUCUGCUACCACCAUGCCCCGGGCUGCAGCCACUGCAGCGAUUAGUGUCUGAGCAUGCCUCCUGUUCUCAAAUGCUGGAUAAAGCAUAACGUUCGAUAUCACAAAUAAGGAUAAACCUUUUUCAGUAAAGCUUAGUCAUAUUUACGUAUUUCUGAUGAUUGAAUAUAUCCAUUAUUGCUUUGCUGGAGUGAGCUUUGUUCCUUUGUGCAUUGCCUCUUUCUGAAAGCCACAAAAUCAUCUGUCAUGUGGACAAAGAUGCGAGGCCAGAGACUUAGAUUGAUUUCAACCUUCACAUGAAACAUCGCUGCUGUCAGCCAGACAGUGGCAUUUCUAUAAAAAUCCCAAUGUAAAUAUUUGUUCUAAAUCAGGCUCUUUCUUUCCUUUUGCCUUGGCUGGGACAUUAAUCAAGGGAGCUUAUGAAAUGCUGUAUCACUUUCAGAUUAAUUGCUACUGAAAAUUGGGACUGUUGCUGUCCCCCUUUUGGCAUGAUCUCCUCCAGAUUUAUUUUCUUUCUUCAAAUUCUUUCUCCCCAGACAGGCCGUUUUCACAAAGGCCAAACUGUUUUCCUCCCUUACAAGAGUAUCUUGUUUGCCAGCCCUCCCCUGGUCAGCAGACAAAACGAGAGGCGUGGAUUAAGGACUGAAUAUUUGCCCUCACGAACUGUUGGAUUAUUUGCACAUUCCAGAUGUCUUCUGUGCGACCCGGUUUGUACUAAAUCGAGGCUGAUCUGAGAAAGCAGGUCACUGUACCUUGAGGUUAAACAAGCAGCAUUAAACUCUGGUUUGUUGG